rnacentral:snRNA from 1 species
AUCUGUUCUUAUCAGUUUAAUAUCUGAUACGUCCCCUACCCGGGGACCAUAUAUUAAAUUGAUUUUUGGAGCAGGGAGAUGGAAUAGGGGCUUGCUCCGUCCACUCCACGCAUCGACCUGGUAUUGCAGUAUUUCCAGGAACGGUGC